rnacentral:rRNA from 1 species
UACGUAGGGGGCUAGCGUUGUCCGGAAUCAUUGGGCGUAAAGAGCGUGUAGGCGGCCCGGUAAGUCCGCUGUGAAAGUCGGGGGCUCAACCCUCGAAUGCCGGUGGAUACUGUCGGGCUAGAGUGCGGAAGAGGAGAGCGGAAUUCCAGGUGUAGCGGUGAAAUGCGUAGAUAUCUGGAGGAACACCGGUGGCGAAGGCGGCAUCCUGGACCAACACUGACGCUGAGUGAGCGAAAGCCAGGGGAGCAAACGGG